GACGAACGCUGGCGGCGUGCUUAACACAUGCAAGUCGAACGGAAAGGCCCCUUUGGGGGUACUCGAGUGGCGAACGGGGGAGUAACACGUGAGUAACCUGCCCUUGACUUCGGGAUAACUUCAGGAAACUGGGGCUAAUACCGGAUAGGAAUCCUUGCUGCAUGGCGGGGGUUGGAAAGCUUCGGCGGUUUUGGAUGGACUGGCGGCGUAUCAGCUUGUUGGUGGGGUAGUGGCUUACCAAGGCGUUGAGGGGUAGCCGGCCUGAGAGGGCGACCGGCCACCCUGGCUCUGACAUGCGGCCCAGACUCCGACGGGAGGCAACAGUGGGGAAUCUUGCUCCAUCCGCGGCGCCCUGAUGCAGCAACCCCGCGUGCGGGAUGCCGGUCUUCGUGUUGUAGACCGCUUUCAGCAGGGUCGACGCUUGUGGUGACGGUACCUGCAGAAGAAGCACCGGCUAACUACGUG
rnacentral:rRNA from 1 species